rnacentral:rRNA from 1 species
AUUGAACGCUGGCGACAGGCCUAACACAUGCAAGUCGAGCGGUAGCACAGAGAGCUUGCUCUCGGGUGACGAGCGGCGGACGGGUGAGUAAUGUCUGGGAAACUGCCUGAUGGAGGGGGAUAACUACUGGAAACGGUAGCUAAUACCGCAUAACGUCGCAAGACCAAAGUGGGGGACCUUCGGGCCUCAUGCCAUCAGAUGUGCCCAGAUGGGAUUAGCUAGUAGGUGGGGUAACGGCUCACCUAGGCGACGAUCCCUAGCUGGUCUGAGAGGAUGACCAGCCACACUGGAACUGAGACACGGUCCAGACUCCUACGGGAGGCAGCAGUGGGGAAUAUUGCACAAUGGGCGCAAGCCUGAUGCAGCCAUGCCGCGUGUGUGAAGAAGGCCUUCGGGUUGUAAAGCACUUUCAGCGGGGAGGAAGGCGUUAAGGUUAAUAACCUUGGCGAUUGACGUUACCCGCAGAAGAAGCACCGGCUAACUCCGUGCCAGCCGCCGCAGUAACAC